rnacentral:rRNA from 1 species
UGCAUAUCAAAAAGCGGAGGAAAAGAAACCAACAGGGAUUGCCUUAGUAGCGGCGAGUGAAGCGGCAAAAGCUCAAAUUUGAAAUCUGGCGCCUUCGGUGUCCGAGUUGUAAUUUGAAGAUUGUAACCUUGGGGUUGGCUCUUGUCUAUGUUUCUUGGAACAGGACGUCACAGAGGGUGAGAAUCCCGUGCGAUGAGAUGCCCAAUUCUAUGUAAGGUGCUUUCGAAGAGUCGAGUUGUUUGGGAAUGCAGCUCUAAGUGGGUGGUAAAUUCCAUCUAAAGCUAAAUAUUGGCGAGAGACCGAUAGCGAACAAGUACAGUGAUGGAAAGAUGAAAAGAACUUUGAAAAGAGAGUGAAAAAGUACGUGAAAUUGUUGAAAGGGAAGGGUUUGAGAUCAGACUCGAUAUUUUGUGAGCCUUGCCUUCGUGGCGGGGUGACCCGCAGCUUAUCGGGCCAGCAUCGGUUUGGGCGGUAGGAUAAUGGCGUAGGAAUGUGACUUUACUUCGGUGAAGUGUUAUAGCCUGCGUUGAUGCUGCCUGCCUAGACCGAGGACUGCGAUUUUAUCAAGGAUGCUGGCAUAAUGAUCCCAAACCGCCCGUCUUGAAACACGGAC